AUUAACUAGCUAUUCCACCUGACGCCAUCUUAUCUAAAUAUAGUAACUAACCGGAAGGCACGAGAUCCAUGUUUUCACGUUUGUGAUAGACGACAGUCUCAUCUGAGGGUUGAGAUGUUUAACAGCUGUUAAAUGAAAAGAUUUUACUAGAGUGAAAUACCAACACAAAGAUUAUCCACAUUAAGGUGCUAUACUGGAGUGAUAAAGAAAGAAAACAAAGUGAAGUUUAUGAUUUGACUGAAAGAGAGAUUAACACAGACAUAAAAGAGGGAUUUCUAUUUAUCAGAGACACAACUAGAUUUGACCACUGCUACGCAGCUUCUUAAACAUCCUAUCCUUCUGUGACGUCAUCUGCCAUCUUGCUUUCCAAUAUUUGUGCAGGACAAGAGGUCAAGGUAGUCACACUCAGUCAGUGUGGGACUCCGCGCUAUACUGUAUACCACUGUGAAUACCUUGACCUUAAUAACCCUUGAACAAAUAUUGGAUUUUGCAAACUGAAAUUACAGAGUGAUACAGUGACUGAAAUUUCCAUAGAAGGUUGUGUACUGGGAUGAUAAAGACUGGAAGAAUGAAUGGGAGUUUCAGUUAACAGAGAGAGAUCAGAGUUGAAGAUUAUUUACUACAUUUUGAGAAAAAGACUACAGAAGGUGGAAUAGCUACAUUAACUGGGAA